AAUGACAGUGAACUUGCUGGGACGUAUCUACCCAACUAUUCACCUGGGUCCCAAAGAUACUGAAUAAGUGAUUAGGUGAUCUCAUCUCAAGAUAUCUUGUCUCUGAGAUAAGGUGAAACAGGUUGCCUCCAAGUGUCUGGCCUGUUGGCUGAUCAACACCAAGUCAGCUGGAAGACAGCCUGGGGUGGGGCCUAGUGGACACCACCCAGGGCUCACCGGGAGAUUGACUUCACUGGGGUAAAACAUAUCUACUCGCUUUAAUAGACAUCUUUUCAGGAUGGGUAGAGACUUUCCCUACCAAGCACAAGAUGGUGGUCGAGAAACUGCUACAAGACAUCAUCCCAAGGUAUGGAACACCUGCUCUGCAAGGCUCAGACAAUGGACCAGUGUUUGCUGCCCAGUGACGUCAGUAUUCAAGGACAUCUGCCCAAGAUUACAGAAGGUGUAUAAAAAGGCCCCACCACCCACUCCACACCAGGAGAUUGUGUCUAUAUCUGUAGACAUCAACACAAGACCCAAAAGUCUCACUAGAAGGAACCCUACACUGUGAUCCUGACCACUUCCGCUGCCAUCAAGGUUGACGGGAUUGUCACCCGGAUCCACCACUCCCAUGCCCAUGCUGCUGAUCUGGAGUGGACUGAGUUGCUAAGACUACUACCAGAGAACACCAGACCCCACCAGAACUGAACUGCAAAACCUGACUCUGACAACCCCUCAAACUUAAGCUCAGGGCCCUGUAAAAUAAAGAUGCUGUUUUUGCUGG